ACGGGAGGCAGCAGUGGGGAAUUUUGGACAAUGGGGGCAACCCUGAUCCAGCAAUGCCGCGUGUGUGAAGAAGGCCUUCGGGUUGUAAAGCACUUUUGUCCGGAAAGAAAACCGCCGCCCUAAUAUGGUGGUGGGAUGACGGUACCGGAAGAAUAAGCACCGGCUAACUACGUGCCAGCAGCCGCGGUAAUACGUAGGGUGCGAGCGUUAAUCGGAAUUACUGGGCGUAAAGCGUGCGCAGGCGGUCUGUUAAGACCGAUGUGAAAUCCCCGGGCUUAACCUGGGAACUGCAUUGGUGACUGGCAGGCUUUGAGUGUGGCAGAGGGGGGUAGAAUUCCACGUGUAGCAGUGAAAUGCGUAGAGAUGUGGAGGAAUACCGAUGGCGAAGGCAGCCCCCUGGGCCAACACUGACGCUCAUGCACGAAAGCGUGGGGAGCAAACAGGAUUAGAUACCCUGGUAGUCCACGCCCUAAACGAUGUCAACUAGUUGUUGGGGAUUCAUUUCCUUAGUAACGUAGCUAACGCGUGAAGUUGACCGCCUGGGGAGUACGGUCGCAAGAUUAAAACUCAAAGGAAUUGACGGGGACCCGCACAAGCGGUGGAUGAUGUGGAUUAAUUCGAUGCAACGCGAAAAACCUUACCUACCCUUGACAUGGUCGGAAGUCUGCUGAGAGGUGGACGUGCUCGAAAGAGAACCGGCGCACAGGUGCUGCA
rnacentral:rRNA from 1 species